rnacentral:misc_RNA from 1 species
UUUCAUGCUUCCGCUCCUUCAAUUCUGUCACUGACUUCUUCAGGAAAGUUGUAGCCCUACUUCUUAGCUUUCUAAUAAGUCCUCAUUUGCCCAAAUCGGAGAUCUACAACCCAAGUUAUGGGCUAAAAACCAAAACUAUUUCUAACAGAGGAUCCAGCCCAUAAAUUUGACUUCAUUGCCAUUUUUAAACACCAAAACGAUGUAGUCUUGUCUUUAGCCCUUCAUAGAAAUUGUAGAGGUGAUUCUUAAGGUUCAAUUGGGCCUAG